UACGCCUAUCAAUUAUUGUACAUUUGUUGAUGUUUAGUCCACAAACAACAGGUACUCAAGGUUGAUUGCCGUUUUCAUCUGUGCAGUUCUCGUUCGAUCUCCGGCACGAAUUAUUCAUUCGACAUCUGUGUGAUUUUCGAAGCUUUUUAGUUCAGGUGAAAAUGGUGCUUAAAAUUUUGGCACGCUGCAACAAAAACAAAUACGAAAACUGGAAAAUCCAAGGAUAAUUCAAUUGAUUUGUAACAUUAUCUUUACUGGAUUACAUUGAGUUUAUUUUAUUUAGUUCUUUAUUAAAUUUGUUAAAUGAGUACAAAUCUGAGGUAUUUAUUUUUAUUAUUAAUUGAAAGUCAAACAGUGGGUAUAAAAUUUGUUUAUUCAAAAUAGAUAUGACGUAAAAGCAGUUAAAUGUUUAAUUUAAAGUUGUAAUUAACUUAAAUUUGUAAUCCAUUGUAGUCCCACAAUUGUAAUAAAUUAUAAAAUACAUAUACUUGUUUGCCCAUCGUAACAAAAAUAUUCGAAUGUUA